rnacentral:misc_RNA from 1 species
CAAUAUGAAAGCGGGCUGGCAUCCUUCGGGGUUACAGCCUUGCUGAAUUAUUCACCCGUGUCUUUUGCGUACUUCUUGUUUCCUUGGUGGGUUCGCCCACCAUAGGACAAACCAUAAACCUUUUGUAAUUGCAAUCAGCGUCAGUAAAAAAAUUAAUAAUUACAACUUUUAACAACGGAUCUCUUGGUUCU